ACUUUUCAACAUGUAGACCUGUGGAGGAAGACAUCCUGUUAACAGGGAAGAGUCUGAGGAAAGGCACAGGUGCUUGAGGCUGGAAGAGAUCCUGAGAGGUCAUCACCCUGCCCUAAGGCAGAGUGAACCUAAAGUUUCCUAAAGGAAAAAAGAUGAAGAAUUUAAAUAUUCCACUACUCUUCUGAAGGACGACCUUCCUCGACCCCCUGUCCCUGCUCCCACAAACCAAACCCACCUCGGUACAGAGUCCUCUACCCGAUACUAAUGAGGAGUAAUACUACUCAUCAGUGGACUUUACAGAAGCUGAAAAACAAUGUACAGAAAAA